GCUGGGCAUGGUGGUGGGUGCCUGUAGUCCCAGCUACUCGGGAGGCUGAGGCAGGAGAAUCGCUUGAACCCGGGAGGUGGAGGUUGCAGUGAGCUGAGAUCGCACCACUGCGCCCCAGCCUGGGCAACAAAGUGAGACCCUGUCUCAA
rnacentral:SRP_RNA from 1 species